CAGGAGUAUAGUUUUAUGACCAGGUGGUAGUUUGACCCUUCCUCUGUACCCUGAACCUAAAGAAACACAUAUUUGGCAAGGCUUUCCUAGGAGUCUUUGACAUUUCCAGGAGUAUAGUUUUAUGACCAGGUGGUAGUGUGACCCUUCCUCUGUACCCUGAACCUAAAGAAACACAUAUUUGGCAAGGCUUUCCUAGGAGUCUUUGACAUUUCCAGGAGUAUAGUUUUAUGACCAGGUGGUAGUUUGACCCUUCCUCUGUACCAUGAACAUGAAGAAACACUCAUUAGAACCCGAUUGCCCCCCUCUUUGACCUUCAGAAAUACAGAACAUAGUUGACAUGAGAAGCAAAAGUGUCUUAUAAUACCAAUCCCAGGAUAUAGUUAAUAUUGUGUCAUCAAAACCCAGAUUAAAUUCAAACCUCUCCUGCGUCCAUCCCACUCUGAUUGGGCUCAUGUUAACGCCGCCCUGCACUGUGACGCCUUGUUUAAGAGGCCCCCGAGCCAAGAAGGACGGAACAGAGAGGGAGAAAGCUGUUGCUGAGAGGGAGAAAAUAUAAGAAAGAUUUUAAUGGAAGCGGCCAAGAUAGAUAAUGGAGAGAGAGAGAGAGAGAGAGAGAGAGAGAGAGAGAGAGAGAGAGAGAGAGAGAGAGAGAGAGAGAGAGAGAGAGAGAGAGAGAA